GACAGAGGGUGCGAACGUUGCUCGGAAUUACUGGGCGUAAAGCGCGUGUAGGCGGGUGGUCAAGUCAGGUGUGAAAUCCCCAGGCUCAACCUGGGAACUGCACUUGAAACUGGUCGCCUUGAGUGUUGGAGAGGGAAGCGGAAUUCCUGGUGUAGAGGUGAAAUUCGUAGAUAUCAGGAGGAACACCGGUGGCGAAGGCGGCUUCCUGGACAAUUACUGACGCUGAGACGCGAAAGCGUGGGGAGCAAACAGG
rnacentral:rRNA from 1 species